rnacentral:lncRNA from 1 species
AAUACUAAAAAAUAUAAUUUUAUUAUAUAAUUUGGUCAAUUGACCUAAAUAUAAAACCUAAUAUUAAAAAUAAUAUUAAAAAGCAUAAAACUAAUGAGAGAGAAAAUUUUCCCCUAAACGAAACUCUUAAAAGACUACAUUUGGAUGCUAUUGUGUUAUUGGUAUGAGAAGGGGGGUCUUCUAUUUAUAGAUGUCCAAAACCUUUCCUCCAAGAAAGAGGUUAACCAAAUAUGAAAAAGAAUUAUAUUUUUUCUUUCAGGAAAAGUAAAAGUAAUUAUG